UACGGAGGGGGCGAGCGUUGUUCGGAAUUACUGGGCGUAAAGCGCGCGUAGGCGGUCCCGUAAGUCGAAUGUGAAAGCCCUCGGCUCAACCGAGGAAUUGCGUUCGAUACUGCUGGGCUUGAGUCCGGUAGGGGAUGGCAGAAUUCCCGGUGUAGCGGUGGAAUGCGUAGAUAUCGGGAGGAAUACCGAUGGCGAAGGCGGCCAUCUGGGCCGGAACUGACGCUGAGGCGCGAAAGCUAGGGGAGCAAACAGG
rnacentral:rRNA from 1 species